GACGAACCGAGCGAACGUUGUUCGGAAUAACUGGGCUUAAAGGGCGCGUAGGCGGGCCGCCAAGUUCGAGGUGAAAUCCUCCGGCUCAACCGGAGAACUGCCUCGAAUACUGGAGGCCUCGAGGCGGGUAGGGGCGUGCGGAACUGUGGGUGGAGCGGUGAAAUGCGUUGAUAUCCACAGGAACUCCGGUGGCGAAGGCGGGUCUCUGGACAGUUCCUGACGCUGAGGCACGAAGGCCAGGGGAGCAAACGGG
rnacentral:rRNA from 1 species